UGGGGAAUUUUGGACAAUGGGCGCAAGCCUGAUCCAGCAAUGCCGCGUGCAGGAUGAAGGCCUUCGGGUUGUAAACUGCUUUUGUACGGAACGAAACGGCUCUGUCUAAUACAUGGGGCUAGUGACGGUGCCGUAAGAAUAAGCACCGGCUAACUACGUGCCAGCAGCCGCGGUAAUACGUAGGGUGCAAGCGUUAAUCGGAAUUACUGGGCGUAAAGCGUGCGCAGGCGGUGAUGUAAGACAAGUGUGAAAUCCCCGGGCUUAACCUGGGAAUUGCAUUUGUGACUGCAUCGCUGGAGUGCGGCAGAGGGGGAUGGAAUUCCGCGUGUAGCAGUGAAAUGCGUAGAUAUGCGGAGGAACACCGAUGGCGAAGGCAAUCCCCUGGGCCUGCACUGACGCUCAUGCACGAAAGCGUGGGGAGCAAACA
rnacentral:rRNA from 1 species